rnacentral:lncRNA from 1 species
CCGCUGAGAAGGAAACUACAACCUAGGUACCUCAAAAUAAUCACACAGUUCUACUUAAUAUUAUUUAUAGCAAGGAUCUACAGAUUGCUUACUAAUGUCAUCAUAAAUUUGUGUUUUCUCCUGCCAUAAGGAUAUUUCUUUUCUCUAUAUAUGAAUUUUAGCUAGUGACCCCGUUCAAUGACUUAUAAUUCUAUUUGGUUAAGAGAUGUGUGAGAAGUGUAUGAAAUAUUUCCCCAUAUAUACACUGAUACUUUUCUUAUGGCAACAUUGAAAGAGGGAGAAGCUGCUGCAAAAGCUAAGGAAUCUAAGAAGAGCAAUCAUGUAUUUCUAUUUGUCCAUCAAUAGAAAUUUAUACUAUGUAUUUAUCUAUGUAUUAUUGAUUCUUAUAUCUAUGUAUUUAUUUUCUCAUAAUUUAUGUCACAGAGUUGGACCGAUAAGCUUGAACCCCAAGAAAAGAGAGCAACAUUUAGAUAACAAGGAAAAAAUAUAAAAGGCGGGCGGAAAGAGAUAACGAGUAGAACUGGACACAAUUCAGACACAAACAAUUAGCACACAAAGGUAUGACUUGAUGAGACUCUAAUUUUACAAUCAGAGCGCGAGUAAAUGGAUAAGUCAAGCAAGCAGAUUUGGUACCUUCACCGUGUAUCCAUUCUCAAGAACCUUCAACUGAUCAAGAUCUUCUCCGAGUUACAGGGGUCUUGGUUCUGAUUCUGAUAUGUUUUCAGAAACUUAUAAUCAUAGCUCUAGAUAUGAAAUAAGUGAAAGACAAUUGCUCAGUCAUACAAUAUAUGAAUGGAAAAUUGUAUUGAAAAUAUUACACAAAUAUAUUUCUUUCUUCAGUGGCUUCUCCAUAUCUGAGAUUUAAGACUUGUGAGUAGCUGAAAGAUUUAGGCUAUUAUGUAUCUGAGAUGUGGAAAAAUAGGUGGAAUUCUUGUAACCUGUACCCAAAGAGAGCUCCAGGGAAUUCUUCUACCAAGAAUUUCAUCCCUGUAAGAAAAGCUACCGCCUAAAAUAGAAGCAAUCAUACAGUUAUACUAGUCUGGCAUACUAUUGAAAGAAAAAAAAAGAGCAAAAUGUCUAAAC